UACGAAGGGGGCUAGCGUUGUUCGGAAUUACUGGGCGUAAAGCGCGCGUAGGCGGCGACCUUUGUCAGAGGUGAAAUCCCGAGGCUCAACUUCGGAAUUGCCUUUGAAACGGGGUUGCUUGAGUCCGAGAGAGGAUGGCGGAAUUCCUAGUGUAGAGGUGAAAUUCGUAGAUAUUCGCAAGAACACCAGUGGCGAAGGCGGCUCACUGGUCCGGUACUGACGCUGAGGCGCGAAAGCGUGGGGAGCGAACAGG
rnacentral:rRNA from 1 species